GACGAACGCUGGCGGCGUGCUUAACACAUGCAAGUCGAACGGAAAGGCCCUGCUUUUGUGGGGUGCUCGAGUGGCGAACGGGUGAGUAACACGUGAGUAACCUGCCCUUGACUUUGGGAUAACUUCAGGAAACUGGGGCUAAUACCGGAUAGGAGCUCCUGCUGCAUGGUGGGGGUUGGAAAGUUUCGGCGGUUGGGGAUGGACUCGCGGCUUAUCAGCUUGUUGGUGGGGUAGUGGCUUACCAAGGCUUUGACGGGUAGCCGGCCUGAGAGGGUGACCGGCCACAUUGGGACUGAGAUACGGCCCAGACUCCUACGGGAGGCAGCAGUGGGGAAUAUUGCACAAUGGGCGGAAGCCUGAUGCAGCAACGCCGCGUGCGGGAUGACGGCCUUCGGGUUGUAAACCGCUUUCGCCUGUGACGAAGCGUGAGUGACGGUAAUGGGUAAAGAAGCACCGGCGAACUAUGU
rnacentral:rRNA from 1 species